ACGCCUACAGUGCGCUCCCCCUCACUCCUUUUCCUCGGAGUGCCCGGCCCCGGCCCCCUUCUGCCCCUUUCCCCGGCAGGGUGAUACUUUGUCAAGCCGUAAUCCAACCCUGCUAAACCCGCGGGUAGAGCUGAAGCGCUGCGAUGAAUCUCGGCAGACUCAUUCCUCUCCUCGAGAGCUUGCUGCCCUUAGAAAUGACUUCAGCGCGCUUUUGCAAGUGUAAAGGGAAAUCAAGAUCCCCUCUUCAUGUCUCUUGAUCUUCACCAGACUAGAAGAACCUGUAGUUCUUAGAGCUGCAGUGUCACCAUGCAGUGAAAAGAACCACAGACUGCUGUUUUUCAAAGGCAUAUGCUCAAAUUUGCAAAACAUUUUCUCACUGGAUCAGGAAUGAAUGGUAAGAUUAUGCUUCCUAUUUGUUUCCCUAUUUAUGGAUAGUUUUUCUUUACUGUUUGGGUUAUAUAGUGAUGAUAACGUUGAAAUUAUGUGAAAGUAUUAUACAACUGCUUUAGCGAAAGAAGCAUAAAUGUGUCCUUCCUUUGUGAAAUAAAAUUUUUAGUUAUAUCUCA
rnacentral:lncRNA from 1 species